UCGGUCUCUAUCCUCUGUGGGCGUAGGUAAUUUGAGAGGGCUUGCCCCUAGUACGAGAGGACCGGGGUGAACCAACCGCUAGUGUGCCAGUUGUUCCGCCAGGAGCAUCGCUGGGUAGCUAUGUUGGGAAAAGAUAACCGCUGAAAGCAUCUAAGUGGGAAACUUGCCUCAAGAUGAGAUUACCAUCCGGACAAUCCGGGAGAGGCCGCUGGUAGACUACCAGUUUGAUAGGUGGCGUGUGUAAGCGCAGCGAUGUGUUGAGCUAAGCCAUACUAAUGGCCGAAGGCUUAAUUUU
rnacentral:rRNA from 1 species